rnacentral:rRNA from 1 species
UACGGAGGGUGCAAGCGUUAUCCGGAUUCACUGGGUUUAAAGGGUGCGUAGGUGGGCAGGUAAGUCAGUGGUGAAAUCUCCGAGCUUAACUCGGAAACUGCCGUUGAUACUAUUUGUCUUGAAUAUUGUGGAGGUAAGCGGAAUAUGUCAUGUAGCGGUGAAAUGCUUAGAUAUGACAUAGAACACCAAUUGCGAAGGCAGCUUACUACACAACGAUUGACGCUGAGGCACGAAAGCGUGGGGAGCAAACGGG